CAGAGAGAGAGACAGAGUGACUGAACUGGAGAAGGACCUUGUGAUGUCACCGAGUGGGGAGACGUCAGAGGCGGCAUCCGAGUCCUCCUUGAUCCUGGGUUUUGGCACCACUGUAGAACCUGGUGUGCAUAGGCGAGGUUCGGAGGAAGACUCGUGAGGCAGGCGGAAUUUUGUUGUGUUUAUUUAUUUUAUUUUUUGGAGUUGCUGCAAGUUCAAAGAAACACAUAUAAGUAGAUUGGCAGUAAUAAGACCCAGGUGACUACCAUCACGCAUUACCUGCUGGCUCCUCUCUGUCUGCUCUGAUGCUCAACCACCCUCCCUCCAAGUUCAUGGAUCCGCUCAACAGAGAUCAUGACUAAGCCACUGACUCUUUCUCACAGCAUCGUAGAGCACAGGGUCACGGGGAACCUGGAGACUAUCGCAGGGAGCAUGGAGUGCAAGGCGGGGUACACCCUGGACAGGGUGCCGAUCUAUCGCAGGGCACACUCACAUACACACUCA
ensembl:lncRNA